rnacentral:rRNA from 1 species
UACGGAGGAGGCAAGCGUUAUCCGGAAUUAUUGGGCGUAAAGCGUCCGCAGGUGGCACCUCAAGUCUGCUGUCAAAGACCGGGGCUUAACCCCAGAAAGGCAGUGGAAACUGAAGUGCUAGAGUGCAGUAGGGGUAGAGGGAAUUCCCGGUGUAGCGGUGAAAUGCGUAGAGAUCGGGAAGAACAUCGGUGGCGAAAGCGCUCUGCUGGACUGCAACUGACACUCAGGGACGAAAGCGUGGGGAGCAAACAGG